UUUCCGUAGGUGAACCAGCGGAAGGAUCAUUAUUGUAUAACCGAGGUGCGAGGGCUGUCGCUGACCCGAAAGGUCGUGCACGCCCGAGUGCCCUCACACACAUCCAUCUCACCCCUAUGUGCACCACCGCGUGGGUCCCCCUUUGGCUUGUUCGGAGGGGGGCUUACGUUUACACACAAACUUUGUAUGCAGUGUAGAAUGUAUUUUUUGUUUUUGCGAUCACGCAAUCAAUACAACUUUCAACAACGGAUCUCUUGGCUCUC
rnacentral:misc_RNA from 1 species